AAAUGAAUUGACGGGGACCCGCACAAGCAGCGGAGCAUGUGGUUUAAUUCGAAGCAACGCGAAGAACCUUACCAGGGCUUGACAUCCCCCCGACCGCCUCGUAAAGGAGGCUUCCCUUCGGGGCGGGGGAGACAGGUGGUGCAUGGUUGUCGUCAGCUCGUGUCGUGAGAUGUUGGGUUAAGUCCCGCAACGAGCGCAACCCUUGUCAUUAGUUGCCAUCAUUGAGUUGGGCACUCUGAUGAGACUGCCGGGGAUAACUCGGAGGAAGGUGGGGAUGACGUCAAAUCAUCAUGCCCCUUAUGUUCUGGGCUACACACGUGCUACAAUGGCCGGUACAACGGGAUGCGAUGCCGCGAGGCGGAGCGAAUCCCCAAAACCGGUCCCAGUUCGGAUCGCGGGCUGCAACUCGCCCGCGUGAAGUCGGAGUUGCUAGUAAUCGCGGAUCAGAACGCCGCGGUGAAUGCGUUCCCGGGUCUUGUACACACCGCCCGU
rnacentral:rRNA from 1 species